rnacentral:other from 1 species
AAACUCCUGCGUUGUUCGUUACGCGGUAUUCAUUUAAACCCACAAUAAAUGAAAGGGAAUGCGGGUCUAUCCGACGCGGCGCAUGCCGGCUCCUGAAAUAACGGUUAAUCGGCGUUCAGACAUUUUCUCCGAACGCCCUGCCGGAAGCCGAAGCGUCAUAGCAGCACAACCAUCCUGCUUAACGGCGGGUUACUAAUGUAUCGCGGACGGCAAAUGCGGGAUUUUU